rnacentral:rRNA from 1 species
GACGAACGCUGGCGGCGUGCUUAACACAUGCAAGUCGAACGGAAAGGCCCUGCUUUUGUGGGGUGCUCGAGUGGCGAACGGGUGAGUAACACGUGAGUAACCUGCCCUUGACUUUGGGAUAACUUCAGGAAACUGGGGCUAAUACCGGAUAGGAGCUCCUGCUGCAUGGUGGGGGUUGGAAAGUUUCGGCGGUUGGGGAUGGACCCGCGGCUUAUCAGCUUGUUGGUGGGGUAGUGGCUUACCAAGGCUUUGACGGGUAGCCGGCCUGAGAGGGUGACCGGCCACAUUGGGACUGAGAUACGGCCCAGACUCCUACGGGAGGCAGCAGUGGAGAAUAUUGCACAAUGGGCGGAAGCCUGAUGCAGCAACGCCGCGUGCGGGAUGACGGCCUUCGGGUUGUAAACCGCUUUCGCCUGUGACGAAGCGUGAGUGACGGUAAUGGGUAAAGAAGCACCAGCUAACUACGUG